UCAGAAAAGACAAAAUUAAUAGCCAAAAAUUCAUUGUAAGUGAAUAAAAAGUUCUCUG
rnacentral:tRNA from 1 species